GCUGUUGGAAGAGUGAGAGAGGGAGCGUGCGUUAGAGGGCGUGGGAGGUGUGAGAGGUAAAUUGGCUCUACGUUAAAGGUGCGAUGAAGGGAGCCACUGUUCUUGACCCUAGAAAUAGAAAAAAAAAAUAGAUAUAGUAAAACAUCGCAGCAAUUCUAACUUCUCUCCACACUACGAUCUGAUCCCAAGCAACGCACCACAUGGCCGUGCAGUCGAAGUGGACCAUCAUCCACUUGGAGGGGUUGAAGGCGAGGGAGUGAGCGUACUCUAUGCCGGCCAUGAAGUGUCGGAACUCUGGGCACAUGAAGGCAGUUC